rnacentral:lncRNA from 1 species
GACGGAGACAGUUGAUCAGCAGCGUGCGAUCGAGGGACAGGCACUUGCAGAUCACGAGGAGUGACCCUUAAUCGCCUAGGAGACUCACUCAGCAGGUGAGUGCCUCACUCAAAACCGCUGAAUUGAGACUCCAUGGCUAGAAGCCGAUCGUACUGUUUUUUAAAGCCCACGGUCAGCUUCUUAAAGCCCUUUCGCGUGUGCCUCAUAAACGUGACAAUGUCAUUCUCGACAGACCGACAUGCCUCGCAACUGUAAUGCAGACCAUUACGCUUUACCCACGAGGCCUGAGAACCCAAUACAUUUUGCGUGCACUACGUUAUCGCAGAGCCAUCAAAGGAUGCUCGGCUGGUCGU